CUACUACUCCCUCCGUCCGAAAAUACUUGUCAUUGAAAUGGAUGUAUCUAGAUGUAUUUUAGUUCUAGACACAUCCAUUUUGAUGACAAGUAAUUCCGAACGAAGGGAGUAUUAU
rnacentral:pre_miRNA from 1 species